AUUGAACGCUGGCGGCAUGCUUUACACAUGCAAGUCGGACGGCAGCGGGGUAGUGCUUGCACUACUGCCGGCGAGUGGCGCCCGGGUGAGUAAUAUAUUGGAACGUACCGAGUAAUGGGGGAUAACCAAUCGAAAGAUUGGCUAAUACCGCAUACGCUCUGAGGAUUAAAGCAGGGGACCUUCGCGCCUUGCGUUAUUCGAGCGGCCAAUAUCUGAUUAGCUAGUUGGUGGGGUAAGGGCCUACCAAGGCGACGAUCAGUAGCGCGUCUGAGAGGAUGAUCCGCCACACUGGGACUGAGACACGGCCCAGACUCCUACGGGAGGCAGCAGUGGGGAAUUUCGGACAAUAGGCGCAAGCCUGAGCCAGCCAUGCCGCGUGUCUGAAGAAGGCCUUCGGGUUGUAAAGGACUUUUGUUAGGGAGGAAAAAGGUGCGGUUAAUACCCGUUUCUGCUGACGGUACCUAAAGAAUAAGCACCGGCUAUCUACGUG
rnacentral:rRNA from 1 species